rnacentral:rRNA from 1 species
GAUGAACGCUAGCGGCAGGCUUAACACAUGCAAGUCGAGGGGUAUAGUUCUUCGGAAUUAGAGACCGGCGCACGGGUGCGUAACGCGUAUGCAAUCUACCUUUCACAGAGGGAUAGCCCCAGAGAAAUUUGGAUUAAUACCUCAUAGUAUAGCAGUUUCGCAUGAAACCACUAUUAAAGUCACAACGGUGAAAGAUGAGCAUGCGUCCCAUUAGCUAGUUGGUAAGGUAACGGCUUACCAAGGCAACGAUGGGUAGGGGUCCUGAGAGGGAGAUCCCCCCACACUGGUACUGAGACACGGACCAGACUCCUACGGGAGGCAGCAGUGAGGAAUAUUGGACAAUGGGCGCAAGCCUGAUCCAGCCACUGCCGCGUGCAGGA